UCAGCUAAUACCGCAUACGUCUUGAGAGAGAAAGCAGGGGACCUUCGGGCCUUGCGCUAUUCGAGCGGCCGAUAUCUGAUUAGCUAGUUGGUGGGCUAAAGGCCUACCAAGGCGACGAUCAGUAGCGGGUCUGAGAGGAUGAUCCGCCACACUGGGACUGAGACACGGCCCAGACUCCUACGGGAGGCAGAGUGGGGAAUUUUGGACAAUGGGCGCAAGCCUGAUCCAGCCAUCCCGCGUGUCUGAAGAAGGCCUUCGGGUUGUAAAGGACUUUUGUCAGGGAAGAAAAGGCUGUUGCUAAUAUCAGCGGCUGAUGACGGUACCUGAAGAAUACGCACCGGCUAACUACGUGCCAGCAGCCGCGGUAAUACGUAGGGUGCGAGCGUUAAUCGGAAUUACUGGGCGUAAAGCGGCCGCAGACGGUUACUUAAGCAGGAUGUGAAAUCCCCGGGCUCAACCCGGGAACUGCGUUCUGAACUGGGUGACUCGAGUGUCUCAGAGGGAGGUAGAAUUCCACGUGU
rnacentral:rRNA from 1 species